AUUUCAUAGUCUAUAGAAGUACAAGUGCUCUUACUUCCUGCGCGACUAUAUUAUAGUCUUUCAAAAAUCGUUCAAAAAUGGGCAAAGUGCCAAAAAAAGCAGUUCGAAAACAAAUCAUUGCCUUAAUCCCAGUAUGCAUGAAUGGUUUGAUUGUUGGGUGUUCUUAUGGCUGGAUGCCUAAUGCAAUAUAUUUCUUGUUAGCUGGAGAAGAGGUAAGCGCGACCCUUUUCCAAUGCACUCUCAUAGCAUCGUUCCCAGAAAUAGGAAGGGUUUUGUCCGCAAUACCAGCAGGAAUGCUAACAGACAAAUAUGGAAGAAAAAAAAUCACCAUAGGUGUUGCUAUUUUACACACUUUCGCUUGGCUGGGGCUUUCAUUAGAUAAUACAUCUAUAAUUAUUACGUAUAUAUCGAGAUUUGUAAUUGGAUUUGGGAUAUCUUUGAUCGAUGCAACAUCAUUCAUAUCAAUCGGCGAAAUCGCAUCACCUGAAAUUCGUGGCAGACUGACCGGAAUUUACUCAAUUUUCCUAAACGCUGGAGUAAUAUCGGUAUCAAUUAUAGCUGUAAUAUUUUCCUCGUAUAGGUCACUUGCACGCGGUGUAACAAUUCUGUGUAUAAUAAGCCUUUUAUCAAUGUACUGGGCGAUGGAAACUCCCCGCUUUCUAAUAUCCAUUUCAAAAUCAGAACAAGCCAAAAAUAACUUCUUGAAGAUCAGACAAGAAUAUCAAGAAAACGAUGUAAACGAAGAGUUUGUGAAAUUACAAAAAUACAUCGUAGACGAAAACACUCUCAAAAGUCAACUCAGCUGGAGGCAGUUUCUCAAAAUGGAAGCUGUUCGAAAACCCCUUCUAACUGGUGUUUUGUUAAACAUUUUCAUGAAGUUGAGUGGAGGGACGUUAUUUGGAUAUUACCUAACUUCCUUACUACCAUCCAAUAACUACAUACCAAAGAUAUACUACCCUCUAAUCACACAAACGUUUUUAUUUUUCAUUUCCUUCGGUUUGCCAUUAUUUAUUGACAGCUUCUCUCGCAGGAGUAUGUUCCUGUUUGGUGCUGCUGCAAUGGUGGCGAUCAAUAUGAUUUGCGCAUUAGCAAAUUAUUUCUUGGUUGCAAAUGAAGCAGUGUCCAUUUUUGAGUGGGUUUUUGCUAUGGGAAAUAUUUUAUCUUCGGUGUGUACUGAUGUGAUACUAUUUCCAGUGAAUAGAGCUGUCAGAUCUGAACUAUAUCCUCAAGCUGUGAAAGGGUUUGGUGGAUCGCUUGCAGUCAUUAGUAUUGCACUAUCAGACAUAAUGUUAAACCAAAUGUAUGGCUUUUUUAAAGCGUAUUCUCAUUUGUAUUUUAUGUAUUUUAUAUUUUUGAUGAAUUCUAUGAUUUUAUGCCUCGUAAUUUACUUUUUACUACCGGAGGGUUGUGGAGUAGCUCUACCUGAUAUCCAAAUGAAAUUCAAGAGUAUUAAGAGUAAACACACAGUAUGAUUCUCUCCAUUGAAAAAAAAUUGCAAAAAUAAAAUGAACUAAUUAUUUUAUACUUAUCUAGUUAAUUUUUCUUCAUUUGCAAUUUUUCUCGAACGUCGCAUUCAUUGAAAUGAUAACAGUUGAUACCUGUACGUAUAGUAUUUUAGAUAAUAUUAUUCUGAUUUGAAAAAUUUAGCAUCACUUCAUUAAGCAUCAUAAAUAACUUCUAAUUUUCAUGGCAACACGUUCAGCUUUCUUCGCUGUAACUUGAGUAGAGAGAAAAUGAAGGCCCAUAUAAUUUAAAGAAAAAAUUCAUUGUUUGUGAAAGCGCAAAGAAAUGAAUUUGUUUUGAAUAGGCAACUUACCCUAUUUUCGACCUUGUGAAACGAUUGGUAAUGGUUUCAAACCGUUCUGGAGCUUCCAGUGAAUUUUAAUUUUUUUUAAAUUUUCCCUCUCAAAAAUACCUACUUACUCACCUACGUAAUCACAGGAGAAAAUUUUAGAUUUGAACGGCAUGAAAAGAUUUUGAAAUUUGCGCCUAAAUUGAUUGAAAAGGUCAAAAUAAAAAUGGUAAAUUCGAGUUUACAUAUGAGUCAAAUAUCAUCCAAAAUGAAUUUUUAAAAUUUUCGGAGAAUUUUUAAAAAUCUUUUUGCCGAAAAUAGAAAAAAAUCAAAAUUUAGUAAAGUUGAAAAUGAACGCUUGAAUUUUGCAUGUUGGUACCUAUUUUCUAACGAGAUGCUCAUUUUUCUCACAUCUACUAUAAUUUUCAAUUUUUUAAUUUAUAUCUAUCACAAAUCGCUCUGUAAUAGGUAUUUUUUUUGCGAAGUCGUAAUAAAUAAAAUCUAAUUUUAUCUUUGAUAUGUGAAUAGAGGUACAUGAUAGGUUCACUGAGUAGGCGAAGGCGAAGUCUUGGAUAAUAAUAAAAACUACUUAAUAGAAAUGUAAAAAUAAGAUAAGGCGAAUUGCGAUAUGAUAAUUGCCAGCUAAAAAUGAGAACAAAUAAUUGAAGCACAAGGACACAGUCAUUUCAUAGUCUAUUGAAGUACAAUGUGCUCUUAUUUCCUAUGUACGUGACUAUUCUUUUAAAAAUUGUUCAAAAAUGGGUAAAGUACCAAAAAAAGCAGUUCGGAGACAAAUUAUUGCCUUAAUCCCAGUAUACAUGAAUGUUUUGAUUAUUGGAUGUUCUUAUGGCUGGCUGCCUAAUGCAAUAUAUUUUUUGUUGGCUGGAGAAGAGGUAAGUGCGACCCUUUUCCAAUGCACUCUCAUAGCAUCGUUCCCAGAAAUUGGAAGACUUUUGUCUGCAAUACCAGCAGGAAUGCUAACAGACAAAUAUGGAAGAAAAAAAAUCACCAUAGGUGUUGCUAUUUUACACACUUUCGCUUGGCUGGGUCUUUCAUUAGAUAAUACAUCUAUAAUUAUUACGUACAUAGCGAGAUUUGUAAUCGGAUUGGCGAUAUCCUUGAUCGAUGCAACAUCAUUAAUAUCAAUCGGCGAAAUAGCAUCACCUGAAAUUCGUGAUCACUUGCACGCGGUGUAACGGUCCUAUGUAUAAUAAGCCUUUUAUCAAUGUACUGGACGAUAGAAACUCCCAGCUUUCUAAUAUCCAUUUCAAAAUCAGAACAAGCCAAAAAUAACUUCCUGAAGAUCAGACAAGGGUAUCAAGAAAACGAUUUGAACGAAGAGUUUGAAAAAUUACAAAAAUACAUCGUAGACGAAAACACUCUCAAAAGUCAACUCAGCUGGAGGCAGUUUCUCAAAAUGGAAGCUGUUCGAAAACCUCUCCUAAUUGGUGUUUUAUUAAACAUUUUCAUGAAGUUAAGCGGAGGGACGUUAUUUGGAACUUACAUGACCUCUUUAUUACCAUCCAACGACUACAUACCAAAGAUAUACUACCCUCUAAUCGCGCAAACGUUUUUAUUUUUCAUUUCUUUCAGUUUGCCAUUAUUUAUUGACAGUUUUCCUCGCAGGAGUAUCCUCCUUUUUGGUGCUGCUGCAAUGGUACUGAUCAAUGCGACAUGCGCAUUGGCGAAUUAUUUCGUGGUUGGAAAUGAAGCAGUGUCCAUUUUUGAGUGGAUUUUUGCUGUGGGAAAUAUUUUAUCUUCGGUGUGUACUAAUAUGACAAUAAUACCAGUGAACAGAGCUGUCAGAUCUGAACUAUACCCUCAAGCUGUGAAAGGGUUUGGCGGAUCGCUUGCAGUCAUAAGUAUUGCACUAUCAGACGUAAUAUUAAACCAAAUGUAUGGCUUAUUUGAAGCGUAUUCUCAUUUAUAUUUUAUGCAUUUUAUAUUUUCGAUGCAUUCUGUGAUUUUAUGUCUUGUCGUUUAUUUUUUACUACCAGAGGGUUGCGGAGUAGCUCUACCUGAUAUCCAAAUGAAAUUCAAGAAUAAGAAUAAACACACAGUGUGAUUCUCUUCAUUGAAAAAAAAAUGCAAAAAUAAAAUGAACUACCUACUUAUUUUAUACCUAUGUAGUUUAAUAUUUCUUCAUUCGCAAUUAUUCAUUGAAAUUAUAAAAGUUGAUACCUACUUAGUACUUACGUACCUAUUUUAGAUAGGUACCUAUGUUUCAAACCGUUUUGGAGCUUUCAGGGAAUUUUUUUUUUCAUUUCCCUCCUCUAAAAAAAUACUUACUCUCUUACCUACCUAAUCAUAGUGAAUUCGAGUUUUGGUAUUACGAGUCAAAUAUAAUUUUAUCCCUGCUAAAAGUGCCUUUUCUAAAAUUAACUAGGGAAUUUGAAAAUCCACCGGAGGCUUCAUAACAGUACGAAACGAAGUAGAUUUGCGAACGAAUUUUUGUAUUUUUACAACAAUAUAAUCACUAGAGAAAAUUUUGAAUUUGGCCUGACAUAAAAAGUUUUUGAAAGUACCUACACGAGUAUGCCUGAAUCGAUCGAAUGAGUAAUAAAAGUUGGUAAAUCCGACUUCAUAGAUGCUGAAUUUCAUCUUCACACUGCAUUACUUACAGAAUUUUUUGGGAAAUUGGUCAAAAAUAGGGUACAAACCAAGUUUCAGCUUUUUAGGUCAAUUUCGUAAAAUUUUAACUUUUUCUCAUAUUUGGGAAAAAUUUUAAUUUUUAAAAAUUCUCCGAAAAUCUAAACAUUUUGGCUUUGUUGGGUUCAAAAAUUAGUUUGCCGGAUUGGGAUAAUUUCUUUGUAAGGUGUAAGUAGGUACCUAUUUUUUCAAUAAUUUUGUCAUUUAUUCUCGCCAUUAGAACUCGUGAAGAGCGAAUGAUUACUUUUUUAUAAUACGUAGGUACCUACUUGCUUCUAUGGCCUUUCUGAGUUCAUGUGGAGCAAGUUCUAAUCUAGGUUGAAAAAAUGUAGCGAAAAAUUGAUAACAUUGGAACAUUUAUGAAAAGGGCCAGACAUUCGGGCGACAGGGAAUAAUUCUACUGUAAGAAUCGGACGCAUGUGAAUAAGAUGAAGUGAAAUCUUUAGAUUAUGACAGAAUUCUGAUAAGAAUACAAAUGAGAUUAAGAAAUCUGCCAAAAUGAUAAUGAAAAGAUCCAAGCGCAAUUAACAUUUUAGUUGCUCAUAGAUAUCUAGUGGUAUAGGCAUACAAAUUAAUGAAAUGAAUAAAGUGCCAAGGAAAGCAGUUUGGAGACAAAUCAUUGCUCUGAUCCCAGUAUACAUGAACAUAUUGUUGGCGGGUUGUUCGUACAGCUGGAUGCCAAAUGCUACCUAUUUCUUGUUGGCUGGUGAGGAAGUAAGCGCCUCUCUUUUCCAAUGCACUCUUUUGGCAUCAUUCCCAGAGCUCGGGAGAGUUUUGUUUGCAAUACCAGCAGGAAUCCUAACGGAUAAGUACGGGAGAAAGAAAGCCACAAUAAUUGUUGCUAUUUUACACUUUUUUGCAUGGCUGAGCUUAUCACUGAAUACAUCCAUAAUCACGAUGUGUAUAGCAAGAUUUAUUAUUGGAUUGGCAACAGCUCUGAUGAAUGCAUCAGCACUAAUAUCAGUAGGUGAAAUAGCAUCGCCUGAAAUUCGAGGACGACUAACCGGAAUUUACCAAAUAUUCAAAGGAACUGGAGUGAUCUCGGUAUCGGUUAUAGCUGUAAUAUUUUUCUCAUAUAAAUCGCUAGUAUGCAGUACAGCAUUCCUCUCUCUAAUGAGCCUGCUAUCGAUGUACUGGAUGGCAGAAACUCCAAGCUUCUUAAUCGUCAUUUCAAAACCACAACAAGCCAAAAGUAACUUACAAAAAAUUAGGCAUGACUAUCCAGAAAAUCAGGUAAACGAAGAGUUUGAAAAAUUACAAAAAUAUAUCGUAGAUGAACAAAGUCUCAAAAACCAACUUAGUUGGGGAAAAUUCCUUAAAACAAAAGCUAUUCGAAAACCUUUGUUAAUUGGUGUUCUACUGAACUCGUUUACAAUAUUUACUGGAGGUACAUUAUUUGCAAAUUACACAACUUCUAUCAUCCCAUCAAAUGAGUACAUACCUAAGAUAUAUUAUCCUCUAAUUACACAGAUGUUUACAUUUCUUAUUACCUUCAGUUUGCCUUUAUUCAUGGAUAGAUUUCCUCGCAGAAGUAUAUUUCUUUUUGGUGCUGCAACAACAACGGUAACUAAUGCGAUUUGUGCAUUGGCGGACUAUUUUAUCGUUGCAAAUGAAGCCAAAUUUAUUUUUGAGUGGAUUUUUGUAACAGGAAAUAUUUUAUCUACAGUCUGCACCCACAUAGUGUUAUCACCAAUAAACAGUGCCAUCAAUUCAGAACUCUACCCUCAAGCUGUGAAAGGGUUUGGUGGUUCAUUAAGUGUAAUAAGUCAUGCAAUAUCAACUAUAAUCUUAAAUCAAAUGUAUAAUUUUUUUCAAGGAUAUUCUUAUUUGUAUUUUAUGUACUUCAUAUUUUCAAUGAAUUCGCUGGUGUUAUACCUCGUAAUAUACUUCCUAUUACCAGAGAGUUGUGGAAUAGCCCUUCCAGAUUUCCAAAUGAAGUUCAAGAAUAACCACGUACAGUGUGCUAAUGUCAAAGUUGAAAAAAAAUCGGAGAAAUAAAAUUUUUAAUCAGUUA